UUUAAACGGAGGGGGAAUCGAGCCACUCGCUUCCCUCUAUAAGCGCGCGCUUCCCUCAGUUUCAGCUCCGUCCGGAGGCCAAAGACGGAGAGGGAUGCGACGACUCCGCUGGGGUUUCGUCUCGAUCCGAACUCGGGUCCAUUCUCUCUUGUCGGAUUGUGCUAAAAAGUUGGGGUGAUGACUACAAUGGGCCCAGUCAAGAUUAGCUGCUGCAAUCUCACACUUGCUCCAUUUUGGCUGGUGGGGUUCAUCUGACUCGACGCACUGGGAUCGCAUCUGUUCCAAUACCCUUUGGACACUGAAGGUGGUGGGUUCACUGGAUAAUUUGGAGCAGCUACUGAAGAAUCUGAUUCUGUCAAAGGAUAGCUGGGGUCACUAAUAUUUGAUCUGAGAUGUGUCCCUCUGAGGUCCACUUACCUAAUUAUUCCACGAAACAGGGCUUUGAAUGUUGAACUACUUGUUAUUCUGAUGGACUUGGUACCAACAAGCACUAUCCUCUUUAACAAGCUACUCCAAUUGUCAAUACAAACUUUUCUUUUCUCUUCUUUUUUGAUUGUGAC